rnacentral:rRNA from 1 species
CGUGAGCGACCUGCCAUACCUGUGGGGGAUAGCCGGCCCAACGGCCGGGUAAUACCGCAUACGAUCGUUUUGGGGCAUCCCUGGACGACGAAAGCUCGGGGGUAACCCAGAGCGCAGGAUGAGGGGCUCGCGGCCUAUCAGCUAGUUGGCGGGGUAAUGGCCCACCAAGGCAAUGAUCUGUAUCCGGCCUGAGAGGGCGCACGGACACACUGGAACUGAAACACGGUCCAG